CCGACCAUAGCUCAGUUGGAAGAGCAUAAGACUGUAAUCGGGUACAAAUCUUGGGGUCGCCUGUUCGAACCAGGCUGGUCGGA
rfam:Lentinula edodes NBRC 111202 DNA, contig: scaffold12.